rnacentral:sRNA from 1 species
UUCCGUUUGAUACCCAGCAGUAGCGAUA